rnacentral:tRNA from 1 species
GCCGCUGUAGCUCAGUUGGUAGAGCGCCCGCCUUGUAAGCGGAUGGUCAGGGGUUCGAGUCCCCUCAGCGGCUCCG